AGGGAGGCUACCUACGUGGCGCAUGCUUCCCUUAUCCCUGAAGAGCUUAGGAUGUUGUAACUUCUUCACACUAGGCCUCUUACUUCUUGGAGAUGUCAGUAGCCGGGUAAAUAAUCUUUCUAACAUCCUUUUGGUCUCAUGAAGCCCAUUCUUGUCCUCUGCCCUACCUCAGCUUCCCCCUCCCUCCAUGAUCAGACCUUAGACCUUGUCAGGUCCAAGGACUGCAACCCUCACAGUAUCCCACUCUGACCACCACCUCCUAUCUAGAGCAAUGGAGAGACUUUGUAGGUGAAAGCUGUCUUUGCUACUGGUUCUCCUAUGCUCCCUCGCCUGGCUCCUGCAGGCGGUUGACUUCACCAGGGACACAGUGGCCAGUGCCCAGCAGGUCCCACUCCUCUCACCAGCUCCAGGCAGUUUUAUUAUAGAGUAACUCUUCUGAGACACCGCUCCUUUCCCCAGCACCUAAGGAAGUAUUUCUAGUAAGUUCCAGUGGUAUAGCAUCGGUGACUCUCCUGACAAGCAGAGGGCCAUGGCUGGGUUCCUCUGAUGAGGUGCAGGGGCAGGGCACUAAGAGGGGAGGACUCUCCUGAGUUCUCUACCUGAGCCCUAGACUAGUAGCUGCUCCUCCUAUACUUCCUACUAGUCUGUGCCUGGUUACUCCACUUCCCUGUUGCAAUUAACAAUUCCCUAGGUACACUUUUCCUGUUCAAAUGACUGUGUGGCUUCUCUUUCCUAAUCGGACUCUGACCAAUACGCUAUCAUUUGCCAACAACUCCCAAAGUUUUAUCAGUGACUCAGACCUCUAACCUGAACUCCAGCUGCCUCCAUGACAUAUCCAUUUGGAUGUUUAAUGGACAUUUCCAAAGUGAUAUGCCCUACAGAACUCAGAAUCUUCCCUCUCAAACCAACUGCUCAGCAGUCUUAUGAUCUUAGUUGAUGGCAAUUCAGAAGUGAAUUGCAGGACACCCGGUUUGUAUCUGCAGAGAGAACUGGAGAACUGCUUAGUGUGGAAAACCCACACAUUUGGUUUCAGAAGUGUGUAUCCGUUAUAGCACUGAUGUGAGUGUAGAUGAAGUAAAAGCUUUGGCUUCUCUGAUGACAUACAAGUGUGCAGUGGUUGGUAGGUGAUCG
rnacentral:lncRNA from 1 species